rnacentral:rRNA from 1 species
AUUGAACGCUAGCGGGAUGCCUUACACAUGCAAGUCGAACGAGUGGCGAACGGGUGAGUAAUGUAUCGGAACGGGCCCAGUAGCGGGGGAUAACUACGCGAAACGUAGCUAAUACCGCAACCUAUUGGAGCGGCCGAUAUCGGAUUGGCUAGUGGGUGGGGUAACGGCUCACCAGGGCGCCGAUCCGGAGCUGGUUUGAUAGGACGACCAGCCACACUGGGACGGAGACACGGCCCAGACUCCUACGGGAGGCAGCAGUGGGGAAUUUUGGACAAUGGGGGAAACCCUUGUCCAGCCAACCCGCGUGUGCUAUGAAAGCCUUCGGGGUGUAAAGCACUUUUGGCAGGAAAGCGGUACCUGCAGAAUAAGCACCGGCUAACUACGUGCCAGCAGCCGCGGUAAUUC